ensembl:lncRNA
CCAUUGGUUUAUAUUUAUUGUCCUGUAUAUAAUAACUGGUAAACUACAACUAAGUGACUUUUAUACAAUUCAAAGGUUUAGCAUUGUACUCUUAAUAACGAAACAUGUUUAGAUUAUUGAAGGUAACACAGAAUGAGUGACAGGAGGCUUGACAAAUGGGAAGGAAGACAGGGUCUCUGGUUGCAUCAUCACCAGCAGCUGUCCCAGCUAGCACAUUUGGUUCCUUGGAAGCUGUGGGAACGUACAUUUUAAGUAGUUAAGAUUCCUGACGGUUAAAACAAAAACGUUUUGUAUUACUUUCUGAGAAUAGAAGUGAAAACUUAGCCUGUUCUGGGCACGUUAAUAUUUAGGUUGCAGGGUUCCCCUGAAAGCCAGCCUGGGAGUUUUUUUAUUAACAUUCUGAGAAUGGAAAUUCAAGGAUAUUUUGAAGGUAAUUAAAUAACGUUCUGAGAACAUGUUUCAGUAAGACUUUUAAUAACGCUGCUAGUUUAGUUUGGGUUAACUGUUAUGAACUCCCAGCACAGAUAGGACACAUGGACAGUUAUUUUUCUGGGCAUUAAAUCAUGCAAACACAUUCCUUUUUUAUUGUGGCAUGUGAGAUUCAAACCUAUGAUCUUCUGUUCUCUAUCCAUGGAAUUAGUCCACAGCUCCACCAAGAUGGAGCUAGCAUGCCAUGUUAAAAAGAAAAACUCAAACAAACCUGUUCAUUUUAGUCUUUACAAACAGACCCUAGUUAUUUCUCAACGUUCUGUGAACGUGACUUUAAAUAGAACCGUGAAGAAACCUGUAGAAAACAUUUUUGCUGAAGUACUGAAAUUCCCACAGAAGAAUGUUAUAAAACUGUAGUAAAAAUGUAAUGGGACAGUUGUAUACUAAAUAAACAUAGUACGUUCAAGCUCUAACCAAGCUCUAAGAAACAUAUGGUUUUCAGAACGUUAUGUGCUAGCUGGGGACCUAUCAGCACGGAGACAGGGAACAUGAUUGACAUCAAGUGGGACUACCUGUGUCUGGGUGCAAGCGUUUUGCUAGCUGGGGCAUUUGCCACAUACAGAGUUUAGGUGACCCACUGGCUUGUAAAACAAGCAGACCCUCUGUCUUUGACCUCAUGUCAGGUCAGAGCCGGUUACCAGGACACCUCUGGUUAAAAGCAGGGUGUAGGGGAUAGAUUAGCCUUAUACAGCAGGGGCAAUGUGAUUGGUAACACCGACCACAAACUCGCCCAAUCAAAACACCUUUGUCUGCAGAGAGCCAAUCCAGGACUGGUUUAUGAGUUCGACAGUAGGAGUUGGUAGAAGUGGAGCUUUGGAGCCCUGCAGAAUAACAGCCCCUCUAAGACUGUAACUAGGCAUCCCCUGCACCAGGAGACAGACAGGUAACAGUCUCUCUAAGAAUGUAACUAGGCAUCCCCUGUACCAGGAGACAGACAGUCAGGUAACAGCCCCUCUAAGACUGUAACUAGGCAUCCCCUGCACCAGGAGACAGACAGACAGGUAACAGUCCCCCUAAGACUGUAACUAGGCAUCCCCUGCACCAGGAGACAGACAGACAGGUAACAGCCCCUCUAAGACUGUAACUAGGCAUCCCCUGCACCAGGAGACAGACAGACAGGUAACAGCCCCUCUAAGACUGUAACUAGGCAUCCCCUGCACCAGGAGACAGACAGACAGGUAACAGUCCCUCUAAGUAACCCUGUGUAAGAGCAUUAUACAUCAAGGGAUUGAAAACCCGGUCCCCAUAGCAACAAGCUAUUAAAGGAAGCAGAAGUUUUCAUGACAAAAAAAAGGAUUUGGGUUAAAACAAUUGACGUUCUGUUUGUUCAUAGAUGAAAACGUGUUCAUAUGCAGCAAUUCUAUCUCCCAUUAAAUAUUAAGAUCUCAACAACACGGUUCUUCAAAGUGUUUUUAAAAACAUUCGAUGAGACAAAAAAACAAAUAAAUAAUCAAAUAAAUAAACAAAUAAAUAACAUAAGAAAUAGAUAAAUAAUUGGAAUAAAUAACUGAACAAAUAGCUGUGGAUAAAAGAUAGACCCACAUGAUCGCAUGGAUGCUUUUGCAGAAAAUAUCUUUAGAAAGAGCAUCUUUCCAGAGCGACUUCACAUCACUGGUCAUUGAGCAAGAGGUCUGGACAUAAUAAAUAGUGGAAUAAGGAAGAGAGGAAAAAGUACAUGAUAAUCAAACAUCUGUCCCUUGUUUUUUUUUUGCCUCAGUGUGUGAUUACAGGUCAGGAAUGUCAGGGCCAUGUUCGGUAACAAAAUGUUCUCGAUCGUUUCAGAUAUAAAUACCACAAAUAGGGCCGACGUGAUUCCUUAUUCUACAUCUCAGAGAUCCAUGUUUGUUCUACAUAGCAUACUUCUAUCUGAAUGUGCCCCAAGUCAGAAUAGGGGCAGGGACAGAUGCACCCUGGGACCUGUAGUCCUAUAAUGGCAGGGGGAGGGACAGAUGCACCCUGGGACCUGUAGUCCUGUAGUGGCAGGGGCAGGGACAGAUGCACCCUGGGACCUGUAGCCAUGUAGUGGCAGGGGCAGGGACAGAUGCACCCUGGGACCUGUAGUCCUGUAAUGGCAGGGGCAGGGACAGAUGCACCCUGGGACCUGUAGUCCUGUAGUGGCAGGGGCAGGGACAGAUGCACCCUGGGACCUGUAGUCCUGUAAUAGCAGGUGCAGGGACUGAUGCACCCUGGGACCUGUAGUCCUGUGGUGGCAGGGGCAGGGACAGAUGCACCCUGGGACCUGUAGUCCUGUAGUGGCAGGGGCAGGGACAGAUGCACCCUGGGACCUGUAGUCCUGUAGUCGCAGGCAGCUCUCUGGUACAAGCAGCAGUCUUCCUCCUUUCUGUUGCAUCAUCAUGCGAAGUCACCAUCAAAUAACAAGCCUCUUCCAAAAAAAAUCACAUAGAAUAUACAGUGCAUAGUUUACAAGCCAGAACUUACAGUUUAGAAUCAUCUAUACAUCCUGAUAUAUCAGUUCCCUUCUGCAUGCUAAAUCAUCAGCCAUCUUUUCUUUUGUUCUUUAUCGCAUCUGUUUUGAUCUCUCUGGUUCCUAAGCAUAAGUGUCUUUGGGGAAAUUACGUCAUGACAUUGGAGGAAGAAUUUCCCAGUGCUGUUUGAUUUGAUUUGAUUUCUUUCACUUGUAUCUCUUCUUUUCAUCUUCUUUGACAAACUCCGUGGAAGUGUCCCAAUGCUGGAACAUUUUUUUUUUUUUUGGGGGGUUUACUUUUGCUAUGCAGAAACAUAUAGAGAAAGUGCUUACAGAAUAGUUCUUUAUCAAUUAUUUUCUAAAAGCAUGAUCUGAAAAAUGUUAUUUUAAAUUGUGCCUGUGUGAAGACAAAUGGAUAUUUCAGAUCCAGGCUCUGGUUAACGCUGGUAUUCAGAGAUGGAGACUGAGGAUGGUAGAAAAAACAGAGAAGGUCUGACCCUGUGUUUGGACCAAUCAGGGACGCAUAACAUGAUUUAUCUCCCUCCCCCUCUCUCUCCCUCAAUCUCUCCUGCUGUUCUCCCCCAUCUAUCUCUCUCUCUCUCCCCCCCCAACUCCCCCUCUCUCUGUCUCUCUCUCAUCAGAAGCCGGGGCUUUCAUAGCUGCUGCGACUGUAGUUGCUGUGGCUCCUGGGGCUGCGUGAGCGGCUGUGGCUCCUGGGGCUGCGUGAGCGGCUGUGGCUCCUGGUGUGGCUGUGACUGCAGCUGUAGCUGCGGCUGCGACUCCUCCCUGAAUGGGAGGGGCUUGACAUGGAACUGGAGGAGGAAGGGCUGGGGCGGUAGUACGGGAUAGGCCGCUUCCGAGCGCUGAGGAGAGGAGAGGGUAGGAGAUUAGACAGUACAUAAAGCUCUUGUAGGAGUUAGUUAGUGUGAGGAGGACCAGCACAUUGACAGCUGACCAGAGAGCGUGUUUUCUUGUCUCGGUUACAGUAUGGUCCAGUAGGAAUGCUUUACGUUUUGCAACAUAAUCCAUUUUUGAAAUACUCUCAGAAUUUAAAUAUCAAAUGUAUUUAAAAAAAUAUAUGUAUAAAUAA